GUUAGUGGCGGACGGGUGAGUAACACGUUAGUACCUGCCCCAAAGUGGGGAAUAACCCGGCGAAAGUCGGGCUAAUACCGCAUGUGACCGUUUACGGUUAAAGCCUUCGGGCGCUUUGGGAGGGGCUUACGUCUGAUUAGCUAGUUGGUAGGGUAAUGGCCUACCAAGGCGAUGAUCAGUAGCUGGUUCGAGAGGAUGACCAGCCACACUGGGACUGAGAUACGGCCCAGACUCCUACGGGAGGCAGCAGUAAGGAAUCUUCCGCAAUGGACGAAAGUCUGACGGAGCAACGCCGCGUGCAGGAUGACGGCCUUCGGGUUGUAAACUGCUUUUAUUUGGGAAGAUUGUGACGGUACCAAAUGAAUAAGGACCGGCUAACUACGUGCCAGCAGCCGCGGUAAUACGUAGGGUCCAAGCGUUAUCCGGAAUCACUGGGCGUAAAGCGUGCGUAGGCGGAUAUUUAAGUGCAAUGCGAAAUCCUGGGGCUCAACCCUAUGGACUGUAUCGCAUACUGGAUAUCUAGAGGAAUGCAGAGGCAAGUGGAAUUACCGGUGUAGCAGUGAAAUGCGUAGAUAUCGGUAGGAACACCAACGGCGAAGGCAGCUUGCUGGGCAUUUUCUGACGCUAAGGCACGAAAGCGUGGGGAGCGAACAGGAUUAGAUACCCUGGUAGUCCACGCCGUAAACGAUGCAUAUUAUUAGUAUGGAGUAUCGACCCUCUGUGCUGAAAAGCUAACGCGAUAAAUAUGCCGCCUGGGGAGUACGAUCGCAAGAUUAAAACUCAAAGGAAUUGACGGGGCUCCGCACAAGCAGUGGAUCAUGUGGUUUAAUAUGAUGAUACGCGUAGAACCUUACCAGGGCUUGACAUCCUGAUCGCAUCCUAUCGAAAGACUGGAGUCAGUUCGGCUGGAUCAGUGACAGAUGCUGCAUGGCCGUCGUCAGCUCGUGUCGUGAGAUGUUGGGUUAAGUCCCGCAACGAGCGCAACCCUUGUCGUGUGUUGAAUUUUUCACGCGAGACCGCCCGGGCCAACCGGGAGGAAGGUGGGGAUGACGUCAGGUCUGCAUGGCUCUUACGUCCUGGGCUACACACGUGAUACAAUGGCCGGUACAACGGGUUGCCAACCCGCGAGGGGGAGCUAAUCCCAUCAAAACCGGUCUCAGUUCGGAUUGCAGGCUGCAACUCGCCUGCAUGAAGCUGGAAUUGCUAGUAACCGUGGGUCAGCUACACCACGGUGAAUACGUUCCCGGAGCUUGUACACACCGCCCGUCACACCACGAAAGUUGGGGGUGCCCGACGUGCCUACUUUGCUAGGCCCUAAGGCAAACCCAGUGAUUGGGGUGAAGUCGUAACCAAGGUAACCGUA
rnacentral:rRNA from 1 species